UACGAAGGGGGCUAGCGUUGCUCGGAAUCACUGGGCGUAAAGCGCACGUAGGCGGAUUCUUAAGUCAGGGGUGAAAUCCUGGAGCUUAACUCCAGAACUGCCUUUGAUACUGAGAAUCUCGAGUUCGGGAGAGGUGAGUGGAACUGCGAGUGUAGAGGUGAAAUUCGUAGAUAUUCGCAAGAACACCAGUGGCGAAGGCGGCUCACUGGCCCGAAACUGACGCUGAGGUGCGAAAGCGUGGGGAGCAAACAGG
rnacentral:rRNA from 1 species